AUGCACGCUGGCGGCGUGCCUAAUACAUGCAAGUCGAGCGAACAGACGAGGAGCUUGCUCCUCUGACGUUAGCGGCGGACGGGUGAGUAACACGUGGAUAACCUACCUAUAAGACUGGGAUAACUUCGGGAAACCGGAGCUAAUACCGGAUAAUAUAUUUAACCGCAUGGUUCAAUAGUGAAAGACGGUUUUGCUGUCACUUAUAGAUGGAUCCGCGCCGCAUUAGCUAGUUGGUAAGGUAACGGCUUACCAAGGCAACGAUGCGUAGCCGACCUGAGAGGGUGGUAGGCCACACUAGAACUGAGACACGGUCCAGACUCCUACGGGAGGCAGCAGUAGGGAAUCUUCCGCAAUGGGCGAAAGCCUGACGGAGCAACGCCGCGUGAGUGAUGAAGGUCUUCGGAUCGUAAAACUCUGUUAUUAGUGAAGAACAAAUGUGUAAGUAACUAUGCACGUCUUGACGGUACCUAAUCAGAAAGCCACGGCUAACUACGUG
rnacentral:rRNA from 1 species